GAUGAACGCUGGCGGCGUGCCUAAUACAUGCAAGUCGAGCGAACGGACGAGAAGCUUGCUUCUCUGAUGUUAGCGGCGGACGGGUGAGUAACACGUGGAUAACCUACCUAUAAGACUGGGAUAACUUCGGGAAACCGGAGCUAAUACCGGAUAAUAUUUUGAACCGCAUGGUUCAAAAGUGAAAGACGGUCUUGCUGUCACUUAUAGAUGGAUCCGCGCUGCAUUAGCUAGUUGGUAAGGUAACGGCUUACCAAGGCAACGAUGCAUAGCCGACCUGAGAGGGUGAUCGGCCACACUGGAACUGAGACACGGUCCAGACUCCUACGGGAGGCAGCAGUAGGGAAUCUUCCGCAAUGGGCGAAAGCCUGACGGAGCAACGCCGCGUGAGUGAUGAAGGUCUUCGGAUCGUAAAACUCUGUUAUUAGGGAAGAACAUAUGUGUAAGUAACUGUGCACAUCUUGACGGUACCUAAUCAGAAAGCCACGGCUAACUACGUGCCAGCAGCCGCGGUAAUACGUANGUGGCAAGCGUUAUCCGGAAUUAUUGGGCGUAAAGCGCGCGUAGGCGGUUUUUUAGUCUGAUGUGAAAGCCCACGGCUCAACCGUGGAGGGUCAUUGGAAACUGGAAAACUUGAGUGCAGAAGAGGAAAGUGGAAUUCCAUGUGUAGCGGUGAAAUGCGCAGAGAUAUGGAGGAACACCAGUGGCGAAGGCGACUUUCUGGUCUGUAACUGACGCUGAUGUGCGAAAGCGUGGGGAUCAAACAGGAUUAGUUACCCUGGUAGUCCACGCCGUAAACGAUGAGUGCUAAGUGUUAGGGGGUUUCCGCCCCUUAGUGCUGCAGCUAACGCAUUAAGCACUCCGCCUGGGGAGUACGACCGCAAGGUUGAAACUCAAAGGAAUUGACGGGGACCCGCACAAGCGGUGGAGCAUGUGGUUUAAUUCGAAGCAACGCGAAGAACCUUACCAAAUCUUGACAUCCUUUGACAACUCUAGAGAUAGAGCCUUCCCCUUCGGGGGACAAAGUGACAGGUGGUGCAUGGUUGUCGUCAGCUCGUGUCGUGAGAUGUUGGGUUAAGUCCCGCAACGAGCGCAACCCUUAAGCUUAGUUGCCAUCAUUAAGUUGGGCACUCUAAGUUGACUGCCGGUGACAAACCGGAGGAAGGUGGGGAUGACGUCAAAUCAUCAUGCCCCUUAUGAUUUGGGCUACACACGUGCUACAAUGGACAAUACAAAGGGCAGCGAAACCGCGAGGUCAAGCAAAUCCCAUAAAGUUGUUCUCAGUUCGGAUUGUAGUCUGCAACUCGACUACAUGAAGCUGGAAUCGCUAGUAAUCGUAGAUCAGCAUGCUACGGUGAAUACGUUCCCGGGUCU
rnacentral:rRNA from 1 species